AGAGUUUGAUCAUGGCUCAGAAUCAACGCUGGCGGCGCGCCUAACACAUGCAAGUCGAACGAGAAAGUGGAGCAAUCCAUGAGUACAGUGGCGUACGGGUGAGUAACACGUGGGUGAUCUACCUUUUAGUGAGGAAUAACCGAGGGAAACUUUGGCUAAUACCGCAUAAGCCCGAGAGGGGAAAGCAGAAAUGCGCUGAAAGAGGAGCCCGCGGCCGAUUAGCUAGUUGGUAGGGUAAGAGCCUACCAAGGCAGAGAUCGGUAGCCGGCCUGAGAGGGCACACGGCCACACUGGCACUGAAACACGGGCCAGACUCCUACGGGAGGCAGCAGUGGGGAAUCUUGCACAAUGGGGGAAACCCUGAUGCAGCGACGCCGCGUGAGCGAUGAAGCCCUUCGGGGUGUAAAGCUCUUUCGUCAGGGAAGAUAGUGACGGUACCUGGAGAGGCAGCUGCGGCUAACUACGUGCCAGCAGCCGCGGUAAUACGUAGGCAGCAAGCGUUGUUCGGAGUUACUGGGCGUAGAGGGUGUGUAGGCGGUUCUUUAAGUUUGCUGUGAAAUCUCCCGGCUUAACCGGGAGGGUGCGGUGAAUACUGAGGGACUAGAGUACGGGAGAGGAAAGUGGAAUUCCUGGUGUAGCGGUGAAAUGCGUAGAUAUCAGGAGGAACACCGGUGGUGUAGACGGCUUUCUGGACCGUAACUGACGCUGAGACACGAAAGCGUGGGUAGCAAACAGGAUUAGAUACCCUAGUAGUCC
rnacentral:rRNA from 1 species